GAGAGAGAGAGAGAGAGAGAGAGAGAGAGAGCGAGCGUGCACGCGAAGGACGUAGUAAGUUAUCUGCUUCGUCCAUUUUCUAGAAAUGAACUCAAUUAGAAAAAUAUGAUAGUAAGCUAUCUGCUUCGCCCAUUUUCUAGAAAUAAACUCAUAAUUAGAAAAAUAUAAAGCAUCUAGGCUUUGAACUUAGUAUUUUUGAUACUAAUCAUCAAACUCUGAGCCAACUAUAUGUGCAAGGUACGAUUGGCAUCCUAGCUUAAGUUCGAUAGAAAGUCCAAAAUUUUGAGCAUGUAUUAUUUUUGUCUGCACGUGUGCUUGUGUAUAUACGUGAAUGUGUGCGCACAAACUACAUAUGCACACAUAUAAAUAUUAUUUCAUAAGUAUAUUUAUUAACCUAUAUGAAUUCUCAAUGAUUGUUGCCAUGUGGCGAGUUCUCCUCCAUUCUUGCUAGCAUGUGACCCUUCUUCUUCCCUUUAUUAAAUUUUUAAUAUGCAUUUUAACGGUCCCACUAACUAAACUUUCAAUUAGUGCAUUUAAAUGGUUUCACUAACAUCUACAAUUCUAUCGUUUCUAUCUACAAUUAUUCAUCAUGAUCCUUUACCUUCUCUUCACUAUACUUUCAAUUAAUGCAAACAGUCUCACUACCAAACUUUCAAUUAGUAUAUUUAAAUGGCCACACUACCAUUUACAAGCCUAACCUCUCUAUCUCCAAUUAUUCAUCAUGGUCCCUUUCCUUCCCUUCACCAGACUAAAUACUAACAUUUGUUACCAAACUUUGGUUACCGCCAAAUAUUAACAAUUGGGUGUCAUCAAAUAUCGCGACCAAAUGUCAACUUUUGGUGGCAACGUGAAGGUUAGCAUUUAGUGGGAAAAUAUUAUUGUCACAGAAAAUUGACAUUUGGUGGCGAUAUAUAUAUAGAGUCUAAGCUAGUAUAAUCUUGGAUAAGCUUCCACCCUAAAACAAACUUGCUCCCAGAAUAAGGUUAAAUAAAGUCUAAUCUAAUUUUAAUUAUGAUAUUAAUUUUUUUAAUUAAUCUAAUUAAUAUAUUUAAGUCAUUACCUAUUGCUUAAAUAGUAAAGUAAUUAAUUAAUUUACUAUUUAUAAUUAAUUAACUAAUUAAAAAUUAAUAUUUUAAUCAAUUUAUUUAAUAACCAAUAUUUAUAUUCAUCAAUUCAACCAUUAAUAUUUUGACUAAUCUAUUUAAUUUUUAACUAAUUAUGUAACUAAAAUAAUUUCCUAACUAAUUAAAAAUUAACUUAUUUUUAUAAUUAACUAAUUAAUUAACUAAUAUUUAUAUAUAUAUUAAUUUACUAAUUUAUUAUAAUAUCCAUAGCUAAUAAAUUUAUUAAUGUAUUGAAUUAUUUUUAACUAAUAUUUGAUAUUAAUUAAUUAAUUAAAAUAUUUUUAAUUUAAAAUUAUAAUUUUUGUUUUUUUUAUUCCAAUCUAAUUAUUCAAACAACAGUUUUCUUAUAUUUAGAAAUAACCUAAUUUUUAUUCAAAUAUAAAAUUGGUUUAGUUUCUAUUUAUAUCUCAACUUAUAUAUAUCUCUGUAAUAAAUAGUUUUUAGUUAUAUCCCAAUUAAACGCA
rnacentral:lncRNA from 1 species